ACACGUGUCGAUGUCACUAAGGCAGAUCCUUUUAAAGGAAAAGGCAGAAGCGGGAAGCCAUGAUUAUCCCCACCUUCCACCCCCUUGCUCAUAUAAGGAAACGGCAAGCACAAGGGGGAUGCGGAAUAUUCCCCUCCAUGGAAAAGGGGGAAGCAGCCUGCUAUGGCAGCACCCAGGAAAGCUAAGAAGGCAGCGACCCGAAACUGUUUAAGGUGACUGCUCUUCCCGUUUUUCAUUAUUUCCUUUGCAGAUAAGCUUCUCUCCACAGCUGCCAGCAUUAACAGGAAUACGGCGCUCUCUGAGGAGAAGACCGCCAGAGACCCAGCUACCUUGCAGCCACUGCCGGUCUCCCACCAAAUGCCAAAUUCGGCAAACCGGCCCCAAGACACGGCAUCAAGAAAACAGUGCUGGUGACAUUUGCUGCAUCAGCGGCACCUGAAUACAAAACAAAGUCCAUCGACUUCAGAAGAUACACAGUUCGAAAGGACCAAAUUCCCUCUACAGUGUUUCUUUUAUGUGACUAAUACAAGAUUCGCUUAUAUGAGGCUUGACAGCAUUAAAGAUGCCGGUUGGUGAUUGUCCCAAGCUUCGCAAAAGCUCCGCUGUGAAUUUCACUGAUUAGGUUCCUACUCAGAUCUCUGCAGUGACAAGGGCAAGAUGUUAAUGAUUUCAAAUAAACACUCCAGACUCCA